rnacentral:rRNA from 1 species
UACGGAGGGUGCAAGCGUUGCUCGGAAUUAUUGGGCGUAAAGGGCAGGUAGGUGGUCUCAUUUGUCUGGGGUGAAAGCCUCGAGCUUAACUCGAGAAGUGCCCCAGAAACGGUGAGACUAGAGUUCUGGAGAGGGUCGUGGAAUUCCCGGUGUAGCGGUGAAAUGCGUAGAGAUCGGGAGGAACACCAGAGGCGAAGGCGGCGACCUGGACAGAUACUGACACUCAACUGCGAAAGCGUGGGGAGCAAACAGG